AGUGAACGCUGGCGGUAGGCCUAACACAUGCAAGUCGAACGGCAGCACAGAGGAGCUUGCUACGUGGGUGGCAAGUGGCGGACGGGUGAGGAAUACAUCGGAAUCUACUCUGUCGUGGGGGAUAACGUAGGGAAACUUACGCUAAUACCGCAUACGACCUACGGGUGAAAGCAGGGGAUCUUCGGACCUUGCGGGAUCGAAUGAGCCGAUGUCGGAUGAGCUAGUUGGCGGGGUAAAGUCCCACCAAGGCGACGAUCCGUAGCUGGUCUGAGAGGAUGAUCAGCCACACUGGAAGUGAGACACGGUCCAGAAUCCUACGGGAGGCAGCAGUGGGGAAUAUUGGACAAUGGGCGCAAGCCUGAUCCAGCCAUACCGCGUGGGUGAAGAAGGCCUUCGGGUUGUAAAGCCCUUUUGUUGGGAAAGAAAUCCAGCUGGUUAAUACCCGGUUGGGAUGACGGUACCCAAAGAAUAAGCACCGGCUAACUUCGUGCCAGCCGCCGCCGUAA
rnacentral:rRNA from 1 species